GAGCGCUUAGAAGUGAGAAUGCCGGUGUGAGUAGCGAAAGACGGGUGAGAAUCCCGUCCACCGAUUGACUAAGGUUUCCAGAGGAAGGCUCGUCCGCUCUGGGUUAGUCGGGUCCUAAGCUGAGGCCGACAGGCGUAGGCGAUGGAUAACAGGUUGAUAUUCCUGUACCACCUAUAAUCGUUUUAAUCGAUGGGGGGACGCAGUAGGAUAGGCGAAGCGUGCGAUUGGAUUGCACGUCUAAGCAGUAAGGCUGAGUAUUAGGCAAAUCCGGUACUCGUUAAGGCUGAGCUGUGAUGGGGAGAAGACAUUGUGUCUUCGAGUCGUUGAUUUCACACUGCCGAGAAAAGCCUCUAGAUAGAAAAUAGGUGCCCGUACCGCAAACCGACACAGGUAGUCAAGAUGAGAAUUCUAAGGUGAGCGAGCGAACUCUCGUUAAGGAACUCGGCAAAAUGACCCCGUAACUUCGGGAGAAGGGGUGCUCUUUAGGGUUAACGCCCAGAAGAGCCGCAGUGAAUAGGCCCAAGCGACUGUUUAUCAAAAACACAGGUCUCUGCUAAACCGUAAGGUGAUGUAUAGGGGCUGACGCCUGCCCGGUGCUGGAAG
rnacentral:rRNA from 1 species